CACCAGGAGCGACAGCACGGAUGAAGGUCAGUCUAAAGGGCUUACCUAACGACGCUGAGCGGAGAUGCAUGGCCGACGUCAGCCUGUGCAGUGAUGUGACCUGUUAAAUCAGGUAACAGGCGAGACCCGUGUGUAUAAUUACUAUCGAAAGAAGAACAUUAUACAGACUGCCUUGGUAACAAGGAGGAAGGGUGCGGGCUACGUCAGGUGAGUACGUCCCUAAUCCCCUGGGCUACACGCGCGCGGCAAUGGUAUAUUCAAUGAGAUGCAACGACCGAAAGGUGAAGACUAAUCCCCUAAAGUAUAUCUCAGUCCAAAUUGAGGGUUGCAACCCACCCUCAUGACGCUGGAAUUCGUAGUAAUCGCUCGUUAGCAGCAAACGGUGAAUAUGUCCCUGUCUCUU
rnacentral:rRNA from 1 species